GAGGGGAUGUUUUGGGUGGGAAGGGGCGAGUUGACCAGAGAGUUUCGGAUGGAACGGUGUCAGCGGAGAGCAAAAAUGGGUGGAGUUGGAAAG